rnacentral:lncRNA from 1 species
CCUCACACCUGCUCAGCUGAGCCCGCUCCUGAAGACGUCGAGCAGGAAACCCAGCUAUUUUCCGAGUGGCAUCUUCUCUGCUCGCCUAGAUAAACCUAAAAAACAAGCAACUUCAAUGAAUGCAAACUAAGCUUUCCCGGGGAGAAACGGCGAGGCAGCUACAAUCAGUCUCUGAUUACACAAACAUACCUAGAGGCAGGUUGAAAGGAGGCGAACAGUCCUCGCUCCUUCCCCAGCAAACUAACUGGAGAAAACGGGCCCCGACCUUUCCCGAGCCCACCAGGACACACACCUAACAGGAAAAGCUCUUUCCCGCUCACUAAGAUGAAAAUAGUUAUUCAGACAACUUGAAACCGGUGGUGGUGGCAACAGAACAGUUGUUUUUAAUAAGAAAAUGAU